GUGAGGAAUAUUGCGCAAUGGAGGCAACUCUGACGCAGCCAUGCCGCGUGCAGGAAGAAGGCGCUACGCGUUGUAAACUGCUUUUAACCGGGAAGAAACCCCAGGACGUGUCCUGGGUUGACGGUACCGGAGGAAUAAGCACCGGCUAACUUCGUGCCAGCAGCCGCGGUAAUACGAAGGGUGCAAGCGUUAUCCGGAUUCAUUGGGUUUAAAGGGUGCGUAGGCGGAGCGUUAAGUCAGUGGUGAAAUCCUGCAGCUUAACUGUAGACUUGCCAUUGAUACUGGCGCUCUUGAGUGCGCUUGAAGUGGGCGGAAUGUGCCGUGUAGCGGUGAAAUGCUUAGAUAUGGCACAGAACACCAAUUGCGAAGGCAGCUUGCUGAACCAUUAUUGACGCUGAGGCACGAAAGCGUGGGGAGCGAACAGGAUUAGAAACCCUUGUAGUCC
rnacentral:rRNA from 1 species